rnacentral:rRNA from 1 species
AUUGAACGCUGGCGGCAUGCCUUACACAUGCAAGUCGAACGGCAGCACGGGAGCUUGCUCCUGGUGGCGAGUGGCGAACGGGUGAGUAAUGCAUCGGAACGUGCCCUGAAGUGGGGGAUAACGUAGCGAAAGUUACGCUAAUACCGCAUAUUCUGUGAGCAGGAAAGCAGGGGAUCUUCGGACCUUGCGCUUUUGGAGCGGCCGAUGUCGGAUUAGCUAGUUGGUGGGGUAAAGGCCCACCAAGGCGACGAUCCGUAGCGGGUCUGAGAGGAUGAUCCGCCACACUGGAACUGAGACACGGUCCAGACUCCUACGGGAGGCAGCAGUGGGGAAUUUUGGACAAUGGGCGCAAGCCUGAUCCAGCCAUGCCGCGUGAGUGAAGAAGGCCUUCGGGUUGU